UUACGGAAGGCAGCAGUGGGGAAUAUUGCACAAUGGGCGCAAGCCUGAUGCAGCAACGCCGCGUGUGCGAAGAAGGUCUUCGGAUCGUAAAGCACUUUUCGGGGAGAUGAGGAAGGACAGUAUCCCCGGAAUAAGUCUCGGCUAACUACGUGCCAGCAGCCGCGGUAAAACGUAGGAGGCAAGCGUUAUCCGAAUUUACUGGGCGUAAAGCGUGUGCAGGCGGCUCGAUAAGUUGGAUGUGAAAUCUCCUGGCUCAACUGGGAGAGGUCGUUCAAAACUAUCGGGCUCGAGGGCAGUAGAGGGAGGUGGAAUUCCCGGUGUAGUGGUGAAAUGCGUAGAUAUCGGGAGGAACACCAGUGGCGAAAGCGGCCUCCUGGACUGCACCUGACGCUCAUACACGAAAGCUAGGGGAGCGAACGGGAUUAGAUACCCCGGU
rnacentral:rRNA from 1 species